UGCGGGAGACACGGCGCGGGCAAGUAGAAACACGCGGAUUUCGAAAAACGAGCCGAACGCUCCACAAUAGAUUCCGCGACGACAUUUGGCUCAAUAUUAGCAUAAUAUAUACACCGCGGAGUUCCGAGUAUGCGGAUGACAUCGCCGAACAUUCGAGCUGUGUACAUAUUAUAAUGUACGUAAUAUAUAACACGUAUAGGUAUAGGGUGCACGGGUACCUAAUCUACACGCGUGUGUACAUUAUGGUAAAUAUAGGCGAACGGGAUUAUUUUAUAAACGGCGAUAUACAUGCGUACACGUAUAUUGUUAUACGAGUAUAAUACGUUUAUUAAUACGUUUAUAUACAGGGUGUAUCGCCGUAAAUUAAUUUUUUUCUCCCCCGCCCAGAAUUUCCGGACAUUAUACCCAGUUCGCGUAUAAACUUUGUGAAAGGUGUACACGUGCACGUUCUAGUGGCGCAAUAGUGGUAUACAGAAUAAGUGGGAAAUUUCCAACUACACGCCGGUAAGUAUAUUGGUGAUACUGCAUUGCUAAUAUGGUUUACUGGAGUACAUGAACAUGUACGACGUGUACGCGUAAACCCAGCAUUAGUUUACACAUUAUAAUCGGUGACGUGUACAGCGGUAGAAGGUAGGGGGGGGCUAUGUCCCUUCAUUCGUUUGAAAAUGCAACAACUACGACGAGUGUUUAUUGACAAUCUUGAAGCUGUACAUUUCGGCCGAGUUACAAGGGAAACAGCUGGAUUUAUUUAAUGCACUUAUUGGCUAUAACGGGUACGGCUUUUAAAGUAUCAUUGUCGGGUCAGGUCAAACAUAGGUCAAGUAUAACAGACGAAGAUUCUACGGUCUGUUCACAAAUUACGAUAAUUUACGAAACACAACUUCUACUUACCGGCACCGGCGGUCCAAACCCGAUUGUGCUUCUCGGAAGUAAAUAGUGCUGCUGGGGCACACCCUGUAGUCCGUACAUAAUACAAACGUACGAAUAAAUCAUAAUAUAUGAAAUAUCUAUACAAUUAUAAUAUUAUACAGAAAUAAAUACAACGGCGGAUAAUGUAAACAAAAAUUCAUGUUAGAAAAUAAAACACCUAGGGAAUUUGUUGAUGUUUAACUUUAAAACCGACCUGCUGCUCCUCGAAAGAAAAUAAAAAUGCAUACAUAAUAUUGUUACAAAAUGUCUGUAUUCAGGCUACGAGGUUUUCGACCCACGCGCACGCACAGCAAGUUAGAACGAAAACUUGUAGAAGUGAUAAAUAUAUAUAUAUAUAUAUAAUACCGUCGAAUAUUGUGUGGGUGUCGGAACGCUGCAAAAGCUUAACUUUUUAUGGGUCCAGAAUUCGGUUUAGACAUCAUUGUCGUCGUGGGAACUGAGAUGACCCAUCCGGUUAGGGUACAGGAAAUAAUCGUAUACGGCCAAAAAAUAUUUGGCAAGUCUGACGACAACGACUUGUUCGUUCACACUCGUGUACCAUACACUUUAUAAUUUACCUAGUAAAGAUAGUUCGAUAGGAAUAAUUACUGUUAUUUACACUCCCGAGAUGCACAUCGAGCAGAAUCGCGAUUGAAAUCUCCAUGGCGCCUCAACCCUGUGUCGCAGAGAAUUAAAUACCGAGCCGUCGCCUCUGAAGUCAACUAAUAUUUUAUAAUUCCCAUUAUUAUAAUGUACAUUAUAUUAUUAUAGAUUUUACAAAGACAAGAAAAUGCCAUAAGGCAAUUAUAUUCCUAUAUCACGCCCGACAACGUACGGCAGACAAUUGUAUAUACAGAGUGUACGUAACCCUGGUAAAUAACUAAUUUUUCUUCUAUACAACGGUUUAAAAAAAAAAAAAACAUCAGGUUUUCGGAAAUCACUUCCGUGCUUAAGGGCCGCGUACAAGCUAUAGUUUUGAUUAGGUAAAUAAUAAUUGAAAUUAUCAUUUGACUUUCAAAUAUUCCAAAAAUGUAAAACUGCCGAUUUUCUGUUACUUAUUUUCACGGAUAUUUUAAAUAGGUAUUAUUAUCAUUCGGGUUUAUUCGAACUCUAGAAUCGUCCAGCUAUCGCCAAAAUCGUCCAAUUGUUUCACGUCCUAUUUUCCCUAUACCGGAUUCUGAUCCAGCACUCUGUUCGUAUAGAAGUUGAUUUUGCAUUCUCAGCUCACGGUCAGCCAGUCUUCGCGGCCAUUUUUCACGUUUAAAAAAUAUUUUUAUGUGAAAACAAUUGUUAUUUAUUACUAUAUAAUCUAUACGAUACACACAUACAAAUCGCGUGGUGAGACACCCUCUGUAUACGUGAAGACUGUAUAGUGUAUGCGUGCGUGUGUGUAUAUAUAUAAAUAGGUAGUGCUGCCGUUUUGUGCCGAUCGGCUGAUGACGUUUAUUAUUUUAUACAAUGCGAACGACAACUACUCACAAACUGCACACGUCGCGUCGUAUAUGGUUUUGGAAGGGGUGGGGGGAAAGAAAAAUCUCAUUAUAUAAUAUAUUAUAUAGAUUCGAUUGUUAGGCGAGUUCGAUUUUUCUGUCCUGUAGUUUUUCUAUAUGCGUGCACAACAAAACCGUCGUCGCCGCUAUGACGUGUCAUGUCUAUUAUAAUAAUAUUAUGACAGACGACAACGACACAUCUCGGUACGAGAUCUAUACUCUAUUUCGUUACGAAUAAAUAAUAAUAAUAAUAAUAAUAAUUUUUUAGUCGAGAGUAUAACAAUAAUAUUAUAUCAUGUGCGGAAAAGGAAAAAAAAACCAUUCGCCUCUUCGGUCAUAAGCUAUAUAAUAUGCUGCGGUCGCACAAUAGUUAAAAUCACGGUCGUAGAGAACGCAUACAUCACAUACAUAAGGUCCGACGACUCUAAAACCACCUGCCUAUUAUUAUUGUUAUUAAACGAUGUCCGCUUGUCGAGUCGGUUUCAGUAUGAAUUUUACUCGCUACAAGCGUUGCCUGAUGAAUGGCCAAAACAGAAAUUACUGUUAACUGUCUAGGAUAGAAAGAAACAAAGACAUAUCUGUUGGAAAUGCUGGUCUUUCCCAUAGCGACAUAUGGCUCAGAAUAAUGAAUUAUUAACGCAUCUUGUCGUAAAAAAAAAAUUGAAUAAUUAUAAAUGGCACGAUAUAGAAAAAUGAUGCAAAUUCCAUGCACGGCUUAUAGAAUAAAAGCAUCAAUAUUGGUAAAAUUGAACAUCCGAGAAAAUAGGAGACUCCUCCCUUCAAUACAUCGUCAAACACUUAAAUUUGAUGGUCAUGUUAGGCCAGUAAUAGAAAUCAUACGAAGUAUAGAAGAUCGAGAAGUUUAGAAAAAUAUUACAAAUCAUACAAUUGCUUACACGAUGCCAUUCAAAAUCGAACUAUUGAAAAUGACGAGAGCUACGGAUUAUACACAGUAAUUCGUUUAUAGUUGAACA
rnacentral:lncRNA from 1 species